rnacentral:lncRNA from 1 species
GCAACCAAGAACAAUGAGGGCAUAGACUGAGAGGUGACCAUGGAAACACAUGGAGGGUUUGGCAAGAGUGUUGGAGGCGGAGAAGGUGGAAUAUUAAUGGAUUCAGUGCAGCAUGUGAAGGACUCAUGGAUUUACUGCAUCCCUCACAAGGGAUGACGCCUGGGUUGCCUGACUGAGCAGUAGAUUGUAAAGUAGCUCUGAACCAAAGUUGAGCCACAUUCGGUCACUCAAGAGUAUAUUCAUCAUUUCUCUGAAUGACAACUUUAGAAAUCUUCUUCCUAUCUCUAUCAAGUUCACCGUCCCUAUGUCGAAGAACACAGUGAAAAGUAUAAAGAGAAAAGGCAAUACUUACAUAUGGUGAAACAAAUCCCAACAAUGUUUACCAGUAAUGGAAUGAUCGAGAGGCUGUUGAUCAGAAAACGUAUGGAACUGUAUUUUGGGAAGCUUGAAAUAUUUUCAUCAUUUGACUUGUGGUGCCAUGGUAUAUAAAUUUCCUAUUGAAGAGUUUAAAUAGAGUUGCAGAGGAAUAGCAGGAAAAAUGGCUGAGAUCUCAUCACUUGUCAGAUAAAUCCCAGGGUGCCUCUGCUAUAUAACCAAGAUACUGAUUGAUUUCUUUACUCCUAGAAGUCUGUGACAUUACUGCACCACUUAACGCUCCAAAAUGAAAAGUCUUUGCCUUGAAGGUGAACUGCUGUUUCAG